CAGAGAUCAUUCCUAGUGUCUUUGUUCACUGCUGUCCAGCUGCCCUGAUUGAAAUGACUGCUAUUAGUUCACUAAAUAAUCUAUAUAUUUUUAUCAAUACCUUCUCAACACUGACCACAAGAGGUUCAGAAAACACUAGGUCUAAGAUCAGAAAACUCCAUGUCUCAGGUCAAGGAGCAGGUCAAGGAGCAGGUCUAAGAUCAGAAAACUCCAUGUCUCAGGUCAAGGAGCAGGUCAAGGAGCAGGUCUAAGAUCAGAAAACUCCAUGUCUCAGGUCAAGGAGCAGGUCAAGGAGCAGGUCUAAGAUCAGAAAACUCCAUGUCUCAGGUCAAGGAGCAGGUCAAGGAGCAGGUCUAAGAUCAGAAAACUCCAUGUCUCAGGUCAAGGAGCAGGUCUAGGAGCAGGUCUAAGAUCAGAAAACUCCAUGUCUCAGGUCAAGGAGCAGGUCUAAGAUCAGAAAACGCCAUGUCUCAGGUCUAGGAGCAGGUCAAGGAGCAGGUCUAGGAGCAGGUCAAGGAGCAGGUCUAGGAGCAGGUCUAGGAGCAGGUCUAGGAGCAGGUCUAGGAGCAGGUCAAGGAGCAGGUCAAGGAGCAGGUCAAGGAGCAGGUCUAGGAGCAGGUCAAGGAGCAGGUCUAGGAGCAGGUCAAGGAGCAGGUCAAGGAGCAGGUCUACGAGCAGGUCUAGGAGCAGGUCUACGAGCAGGUCACGAGCAGGUCUACGAGCAGGUCAGCUCCUCAGAGGGUUAGACAGGCACCGCUGUCACUUUC